ensembl:lncRNA
CCCUAAUAUAGCGUGGUGGGAGAGCCGAAGGAAUACUUAUUGAAGUAGUCACAACGACGACAUCACUAGCUAGGCCGCAUAUUCCAUCGCCAGAUCCGAACCAAGCGAAGUGAAGGAAGACGGGUGUCCUUUUCGUACACUGAGUGUGGUGGAUAAACCCCCGCCUUCACGCACUUCGUCGCGGGAGGACAAGGAGACUGCUGGUCCUAGCCUAGUUCAGUACAGUAUAUGUUGUGAGCGUGCUUCAGAUCUCCGGAGAUAGCACGGUACGCUGUGUCCAGCCCAGAGGUGAAAGCCAUCCAAAGCAGAGUAACUGUGCUUUGCGUCCAAGUUGAUACCUGUGGAGAGGAAAGGAAAGAGAGAGUGAGUAACACAAGGAGAAACAGAG